UUGGGCACUCUAGCCAGACUGCCGGUGAGUAAAUCGGAGGAAGUGGGGACGACGUCAAAUCAUCAUGCCCUUUAUGUCCUGGGCUACACACGUACUACAAUGGCCGUUACAACGGGAAGCGAAGGAGCAAUCCGGAGCAAAUCCCUUAAAGGCGGUCCCAGUUCAGAUUGUGGGCUGAAACUCGCCCACAUGAAGGCGGAAUUGCUAGUAAUUGCAGAUCAGCAUGCUGCAGUGAAUACGUUCCCGGGCCCUU
rnacentral:rRNA from 1 species